rnacentral:rRNA from 1 species
UACGUAGGGUGCGAGCGUUAAUCGGAAUUACUGGGCGUAAAGCGUGCGCAGGCGGUAAUGUAAGACAGAUGUGAAAUCCCCGGGCUUAACCUGGGACCUGCAUUUGUGACUGCAUUGCUGGAGUGCGGCAGAGGGGGAUGGAAUUCCGGCAUGUAGCAGUGAAAUGCGUAGAUAUGCGGAGGAACACCGAUGGCGAAGGCAAUCCCCUGGGCCUGCACUGACGCUCAUGCACGAAAGCGUGGGGAGCAAACAGG